GAUCCUGGCUCAGGAUGAACGCUAGCUACAGGCUUAACACAUGCAAGUCGAGGGGCAGCAUGGUCUUAGCUUGCUAAGGCCGAUGGCGACCGGCGCACGGGUGAGUAACGCGUAUCCAACCUGCCUUACACUCUUGGACAGCCUUCUGAAAAGGGGAGAUUAAUACAAGAUGUUAUCAUGGGUAAGCAUUUUCGCAUGAUUAAAGGUUUACCGGUGUAAGAUGGGGAUGCGUUCCA
rnacentral:rRNA from 1 species